GGGGAUGUGGCUCAGUGGUAGAGCGCCCGCUUUGCAUAUCUUCAACUGUGUUGCGGGAGGCCCAGGUUUCGAUCACCUGCUUCUCCA
rnacentral:tRNA from 1 species